CCGGCUAAUUUUUUGCAUUUUUAGUAGAGACGGGGUUUCACCGUGGUCUCGAUCUCCUGACCUUGUGAUCCGCCCGCCUCGGCCUCCCAAAGUGCUGGGAUUACAGGCGUGAGCCACCGCGCCCGGCCUCUUCUCUGUUUUCUAAGUUUUCAGAGACAAGGGAGAGAGGAAAGCUGGAGUGGGAAAAGUUGGGGGUUGUGAGCAGCAGCCACUGGAACCCAGGCUUCCAGCCUCCCAGCAUCCGGCCUAGUGCUCCCUCCUAUCCGAGGGAGGUCAGUCAUUGCCCUCAGCCCUAGUCUCUGGCUGCUUCUCAAUACUGGUGAUAAAUCCUGUCUUUGUCUCCCUUCUGACCCAGGCCCCAGGCAGGCUGGGGGUCAGAGCUGGGGGAGGGGUCAGUGUGGAGGAAGGGGAGAUACAAGGAGAAUGGGAGGAGAAGAUGGACAGGAGCAGCUGGUGGGCAGGCAUGGGGGGUGGGCAGUGAGGGGAUGGGGCCUCUUCAUUCUACAGAUCCUGGACAUUCCAGCAGGCCUGCAUUCCAAGUGAGAAAGCCAGGACUGCUGAGUUGUGGAAAUACCUUCAGAAUGGUCCCUUGAGCAUCCGGAAUACUGGGAGAUGGGGGGCUAGUGUGGAGUGCCUCAAGGAAAGAGACUGCUGAAAGAAAUGGAAAAAUGUUGUGGAAAUCCUCCUAUCCAUACCGCAGAUCCCUAUGCAAAUGUGCCAUGCACGCACCCACCCACACACACACUCACACACACAGGACUCACGGCAUGAGGGAGCCCUGGAGAGCCAGGCUGCCCCUUGCCUGGCCCCUCCCUAGUGGCCUUCUCUUGCUAUGACUUUCCUGUUUCCAACUCUAUUCUUUUUCUCUGCUCCCAGUCUUGCUUUCCUUCUUUGUGUCUCUCAUUCUCCCAGUUUGUUAUUCUCGCCGUCUCUCAGCCUCUGCCUCGGUCUCUCAAUCACUUUUUCUCUCUCAUAUUGUUUCUUUCCAUCUUCUUGUCUCCCUCUCCCCUCUCCCCAAAUUCCUGGAUGCUGUUCCAUCUGUCCUGCUUCUGCCACUGUUCAGCCCAGCCGUCCUACCUCAGUCCUCCUACCUCAGUCCCACAUCAGAACCCUGUUCUGGCCCAGAGGGGACCUUUGGGAGUUAGAUUCCAAGAAUAGAUGGGAAGGAGAAAAGAGGCUCUUAAUGAGUCCCUGCUUUAGUGGGAGGUCUGGGAAUCAUAUUGGGUUAUGAUAUGGCAUGGAAGGGUGGGGUGGGCAGAAGGUGACCAGAAAGAGAAGCACAACUAAGGGAGGUAGGGUGAAAUGAGAGAGAAGAGAUUAAUAAAGAAAAGGCAUAGGCCAGGCACGGUGGCUCACACCUGUAAUCCCAGCACUCUGGGAGGCCGAGGCGGGCAGAUCUCCAGAGGUCAGAAGUUGGAGACCAGCCUGGCCAACAUGGUGAAAUGCUGUCUCUACUAAAAAUACAAAAAAAAAAAAAA
rnacentral:lncRNA from 1 species